GCCAGUGUGGUAGAGUGGUUUGGAUGUUGGACUACAACUCUGGAAACAAGGGUUUGAAUCCCUGCUCAGCCA